CCUACGGGGGGCAGCAGUAGGGAAUAUUGGGCAAUGGGCGAGAGCCUGACCCAGCCAUGCCGCGUGCAGGAAGAAGGCUUUCUGAGUCGUAAACUGCUUUUGACAGGGAAGAAUAAGCUGGUCGUGACCAGUGAUGACGGUACCUGCAGAAUAAGCACCGGCUAACUCCGUGCCAGCAGCCGCGUAA
rnacentral:rRNA from 1 species